UACUCGAGUGGCGAACGGGUGAGUAACACGUGGGUGAUCUGCCCUGCACUUCGGGAUAAGCCUGGGAAACUGGGUCUAAUACCGGAUAGGAGCCAUUUUUAGUGUGAUGGUUGGAAAGUUUUUCGGUGUAGGAUGAGCUCGCGGCCUAUCAGCUUGUUGGUGGGGUAAUGGCCUACCAAGGCGGCGACGGGUAGCCGGCCUGAGAGGGUGGACGGCCACAUUGGGACUGAGAUACGGCCCAG
rnacentral:rRNA from 1 species